rnacentral:rRNA from 1 species
AUUGAACGCUGGCGGCAUGCCCUACACAUGCAAGUCGAACGGCAGCAUGAUCCAGCUUGCUAGAUUGAUGGCGAGUGGCGAACGGGUGAGUAAUACAUCGGAACGUGCCCUGUAGUGGGGGAUAACUAGUCGAAAGAUUAGCUAAUACCGCAUACGACCUGAGGGUGAAAGUGGGGGACCGCAAGGCCUCAUGCUAUAGGAGCGGCCGAUGUCUGAUUAGCUAGUUGGUGAGGUAAAGGCUCACCAAGGCGACGAUCAGUAGCUGGUCUGAGAGGACGAUCAGCCACACUGGGACUGAGACACGGCCCAGACUCCUACGGGAGGCAGCAGUGGGGAAUUUUGGACAAUGGGCGAAAGCCUGAUCCAGCAAUGCCGCGUGUGUGAAGAAGGCCUUCGGGUUGUAAAGCACUUUUGUCCGGAAAGAAAUGGCUCUGGUUAAUACCUGGGGUCGAUGACGGUACCGGAAGAAUAAGGACCGGCUAACUACGUG